rnacentral:lncRNA from 1 species
GCCAGGCUGGAGUGCAGUGGCAAGAUCUUGGCUCACUGCAACAUCCAUCUCCUGGUUUCAAGUGAUUCUCCCACCUCAGUCUCCCAAGUAGCUAGGAUUACAGGCGCCUGCCACCAUGCCCGGAUAAUUUUUUUUUUUUUUUUUUUUGGUAGAGACAGGAUUUCACCAUAUCGGCCAGGCUGGCCUCGAACUCCCAACCUCAGGUGAUCCGCCUUGGCCUCCCAAAGAGCUGGGAUUACAGCUGUGAGCCACCGGGCCUGGCUAGAUAUAACAUUUCUUUUUAUAACAUGUUUUCCUUUCUUGAAAUUCAUAUUGUAUAUCAACAUGCACAUUUUUUAAAAUCAUUAUAAUAACUUAGCUGUAAUUUAAAGGAAAAAUAAAAGGAACGUAAUUUUUAAAAUAUCUAUUUUAAAAUAUAAAUGCUUUGACAUGCCAACACUUUAUGGCAUGAUAAAUUAGAUGGUUAUACCUGUAGACUCACUAGUGUAUGAAACUACUAAUGCAACUUGAUAUAGGUGUAAGGUACUAAAGACAUAAGCAGCAAUGCUUUUCUGAGAUAGAUUUUCUGAAAUUUUGAGCAGCUUUAUGAUAAAGUUCUGGAGGAAAAGGACAGAAUUUCCCCAAUUCACAUUUACAUCUCUUUGAUUAUAAGACACACCUUUUUUCCCCACAUUUCUUUUUAUUUAACUUUUAAGUUCAUGGGUAUAUGUGCAGGUUUAUUGUACAGAUUAUUUCAUCACCCAGAUAUUAAACCUAGUACCUAUGAGUUAUUUUUCAUUAUCUUCUCCCUCUCCCAACCUUCCACCCUUAGAUAAACCCCAGUGUGUGUUGUUCAUCCAUGUGUUCUUAUCAUUUAGCCCCCACCUGUAAGAGAAUAUGUGAUACUUGGUUUCCUGUUCCUGCUUUAGUUUGCUAAGGAUAAUGGUCUACAGCUCCAUCCAUGUUCCUGCAAAGGACAUGAUCUCAUUCUUUUGUAUGGCUGCAUAGUAUUCUAUGGUGUAUAUGUACCACAUUUUCUUUAGCCUAUCAUUGAUGGUCAUUCAGGUUGAUUCCAUGGCUUUGCUAUGUGAAUAACACUGCAGUGAAUAUAGACAUGCAUGUGUCUUUAUGAUAUAACGAUUUAUAUUCCUUUGAGUAAAUACCUAUUAAUGGGAUUGCUUGGCCAAACAAUAUAUCUGUUUUGAGGUCUCUGAAGAAUCACCACACUAUCUUCCACAAUAAAUGAACUAAUUUGUACUCUCACCAACAGUGUAUAAGCAUUACUUUUUUUCCACAACCUCGCCAGCAUCUGUUAUUUUUUUACUUUUUAAUAAUAGCCAUUCUGACUGGUAUGAGAUAGUAUCUCAUUGUGGUUUUGCUUUGCAUUUCUCUAAUAAUCAGUGAUGUUGAGUUUUUUUUUUUAUAUGAAUAUUGGCUGCAUGUAUGUCUUUUUAAGAAGUGUCUGUCCAUGUCCUUUGCCCACUUUUUAAUAGAGUUGUUUUUUCUUGUGAAUUUAAGUUCUUUAUAGAUGCUGGAUAUUAGACUUUUGUCACAUGCAUAGUUUGAAAACAUUUUCUCCCAUUCUGUAGAUUGUCUUUUCACUCUGUUGAUGGUUUUCUUUGCUGGGCAGAAGCUCUUUCAUUUAAUUAGAUACCAUUUGUCAAUUUUUGCUUUUGUUGCAAUUGUUUUUGGUGUCUCUGUCAUGAAAUCUCUGUCCAUUCCUAUGUCCAGAAUGGUAUUGCCUAGGUUGUCUUCCAGGGUUUUUAUAGUUUUGGGUUUUACAUUUAAGUCUUUAAUUCAUCGUGAUUUAAUUUUUGUAUAUAGUAUAAGGGAGGGGUCCAGUUUCAAUCUUUUGCAUAUGAUUAGCCAGUUAUCCCAGUACCAUCUAUUGAAUAGGGAAUCCUUUCGUCAUUGUUUGUUUUUGUCAGGUUUGUUGAAGAUCAGAUACCUGUAGGUAUGCAGUCUUAUUUCUGAGUUCUGUAUUAUGUUCCAUUGGUCUACGUGUCUGUGUUUGUAUCAGUCCCAUGCUGUUUUGGUUACUGUAGCCCUGUAUUAUUGUUUGAAGUUGGGUAGUGUGAUACCUCGAUAUUUGUUCUUUUUGUUUAGGAUUUCCUUGUGUAUUUGGGCUCUUUUGACUUCCAUUUGAGUUUUAAAAUAGUUUCUUCUAGUUCUGUGAAGAAUGUCAAUGGUAGUUUAAUAGGAAUAGCAUUGAAUCUAUAAACUGCUUUGGGCAGUAGAGCCAUUAUAACAAUAUUGAUUCUUCCUACUCAUGAGUGUGUAAUGUUUUUCCUUUAUUUCAUCUCUGAUUUCUUUGAGCAGUGUUUUGUCAUUCUCCUUGUAGAGAACUUGAACCUCCGUGGUUAGGUGUAUUCCUAGAUGCUUAUUUAUUUAUUUAUUUAUUUAGAGAUGGAGUCUCGCUCUGUUGCCCAGACUCCAUCUCAAAAAGAAAAAACAUUAUGCUAGAUGCAAUGAACCAUGUAAAAUACACUGCAUCUCCACUUUCACAAAGUUUCCAAACUGCUAAGAGAGGAAAAGAGUAAACAUGUGAAAAACAUAAAAAUAUAAUCUCUGUAUUUUAUUUUACUGUAUCACUCUGUCGAUUCUUUAUCAGUCCUUCCCCAGUUCCCCAAUGAAGGAAAUGGACUUUAUCUUCUUACUCUUUUUCUCUAUUUGUGGAAUUCACUGUAAUGAAUAAUUAUGUGUUAUUUUCUGGAACAGAGGUCGCUGCAAAGUACACUAAGUGCAUAAAGAAACAUUUAUCUCCUCUACAGGAAAUAUAAAGACUAAAAGGCAGAGGAAUUACCAAGGGCAGGCCUUGAAGGAUCUGAUAGAAGAGAGUGGUGAGGAAGUCUGAAGGAAAAAAACGGAAGUUUUCACAGAUGAGAAAGUAUGAAAAUGAGGAAUACAUCACAUAUGAUAGGUACUCCCUUCAUACAAGUUAAUAAAAAGAAGAGCCUGAAUAACCUGAGAAUGUAAUUUAUGGAGAUAGAAAUGGAGGAUUUGCGCAACUGAAGGGGAGGUGGUGCUGCAUAAGCUAUAUGGAAAAAAGUGAUUGAGUAAGCAGUUGCAACUGCUAACAUUUUAAAGCAAACUACCUUGGAAGGUACCAAACGUACCAUGCCGUUUUCUUCUCUUUGGGAUAAGGUCUAUUGCGUCCCUUUAAGGACUUUAAUGAUUCCAUAAUUUUUAAUUAACAUGAACAAUUUCAUUCAAGCAUAACAUUUAUGGGUAAGGUGAAAAAUAAGAAAUCUAGCAGAACAACAUGCUUUUAUUUUACCAUCAUGCAUAAAAAGGAAGACAAAUAUGCCAAUGGUACACUUCCAAUUUGUCAGAGCAAUUUCACAGUAUUUAAGCAAUUUAGGAAAAAAGACACAUCACUUACUAAGUUGUUACCAGGGAAAAUUAUCAUGUAAGACAAUCAAUUAAACCACACUUUUGUAGAUUAUUUUUCCACGAAGGCAAUUUGACAAGCCUAACAAAGACCAAGUUGUUCAAACUAUGUUUCUAGGAAUAUAGUUUAACAGAAACAAGAACAAGUUGAAAACUGUUAUGAAUAUUCAUAUGUCUCUAUAUUGUACAGGAAAGUAAAGACUAUUGUUCUUCCAAAUGUUCCCAAUUGAAAUCAAAAGAAUGUCUGCACAGCUCAAUUUUCACAAUAAGUUUAGAAACAGAAAAAAAAUAAGAUUUUACUAAAUCCUAAUGAAAUAACAAUCACCCACAUAAAUCAGGUCACAAAACAAGCAAGCAAGCAUUCAAACUUGCGUUGUAUUUCUUUAAAGAACCCUUGUCUAGGCAACAUAUUUAACACUUUAACCCCUUCAAUUCUCCUUUAGCAAUCCUGAAAAGAAUUUCUCCAUUCAUCACCAUUGAGGAGUAAGUACUCCUGCCUCGAAGGCUCUUAACAUCAGCACAGUCUUCAUUCUAGGCCCAAUUUUUACCUGGCCCAUGCCUCUAGCCUUUUGUUCAGUUUCCCCUGCUUAGGGCACCCAUCACAAUCUCUUUAGUUCCUCCACCCAUUAUAAACUAGAUCUCACCUUUCAUCCCAUCUAGACGUGUCUCCCUUUAAAUAUUCUAGGAGCUGAUAAAAGGGCUAGGAAGUAGGAAGUUGGGAAGAAAGAAAGGGGUGGGGGCAUAAGAGCUUUAGCACUCUAUUUUACAGGACAACUUGUCUCUGAAAAUGACAGAACCAAAAUGAAAUUAAAAGCUUGCUUUUACAAAUAUUUCUGAGCUAAUACUUAAAAGAGAGGAGUGGGAGGCUGAGGCGGGCAGAUCACGAGGUCAGGGGUUCGCGACCAGCGUGGCCAGCAUGGUGAAACCCCCAUCUCUACUAAAAAUACAAAAAUUAGCCCAGCAUGGCAGUGCGCACUCGUAGUCCCAGCUACUCGGGAGGCUGAGGCAGGAGACUCGCUUGAACCCGGGAAGUGGAGGUUGCAGUGAGCCGAGAUCGCACCACUGCACUUCAACCUGAGCGACAGGGCAAGACUCCGUCUCAAAAAAAAAAAAAAAGGCAGAGGAAAAGAGGGAGAGAGGGACCUUGGCAGGAGCCAAUGCAGGGCAGGUAGCAAUAGAAAGUGACUAGAGGUGAAGGAAGAGCAAUAAAGUAGCAUAAAUCACACAGAACAAGCGGCUCACUGCUUUUCUCCUCUGAGUUCAUUAACGUCCAGUAACUGUCCACAGGGCAUGCGCCCUUACUUCACGAUGCAGAGCUGAGUAGGUGGAAUAGGCUCCCAAAGGUAGAAAUCCAGGUGAUAGCAACCAGUUCAGAGGCCCUGGGAAUAAACAGCGUCCAAGCAGUGCAGAUAAAGGCAGUACAAUCUACAGUAUCAUUUGCUUGGCUUACAAGUAGCGUGAAGGAUGACCUCGUAGCAUGUGAUAUUCCAGAACAGCAUGAAGGUCAUAUGGAAGUGGAGACGCAUACCCACCACCGUCUCAAUCUUGAGGUUGAGAGAACUGAAUAUCCAAAGGAAAGAGGGUGCAGAAAAGUCAGCAAAAACAAAACACAGUAGAAGACAUACCCAUUGCUGAUGCCCAAGCACAAGUCCAGCAGAAGGUGGUAGGAGACCUUGUGCAGGAGUAUUCCCAAGGGCAAAUGUUAACCAGACUGGAACCCAAAGGGCCUCGGGAUCUCUACUGGCUCCCUUAGUGGGCGACGUCUGGCUCUACGGACUCCUUCACGCAACAGGUAGUAUUGCAGUGGAUUUGGCCACAGAUCCUCUUUAAUAAUCUCAGCAAUUUUGUCGGACUCUGGAAGGCUGUGGUCUGAAAACCAGGUGAAGAAGCUGCAGAUGAGGUCUUGGUUUCUGCGAAUGAAGGACUGGGGUUCAUGCCCCCUGCGCCAUAUAAUUGGAGUAGAAAGGGACACCACCCGGCCGGAGGAUCUUACCUCAUAUUCCUUGACAAUCAGCUUGUUUCUGAAGUAGGGGUUUCUUCUAAAGAAGAACUUGAACUUGCAGCCGGUUCUAGGGUGUCUGAGUUCCUUCACCUCUAAAUUGGUUAUGUACCUUAACAUCUCUGCAUCUUGGCCCCUAAUCAUGGCGGACAACUGGGGAUGGUUUCGAAAAGCCGUCAUCCAGAAGCCCGGGAUAUUCUGAAUGAUGUAGUUCCUCCGCUCCAGGUAGUGUCGACGCAUCCGCCCAAACUUGUGCUCCAGCUGUUGGAAGGCCCUGUCGGCCUGAGCAUUCACAGUGUCCAGUUCCAGCUGGAUGGCCUCCAGAGGGUCCAUGCGGAGAGCCUCAUGCAGAGGCCAGGGCCCUUCCUCCUCCCUCGCCUCCUCCUCCACUCUAUCUUCCUCCGCCACUUCUAUUUCUUCACCUUCCGGCAGCUGCUCCUCUACCUCCAUCUGCUCCUCCACUACCUCCUUCUCCGCCAGGCCUUCCUUCACCACCACCUCAGCGCUCUCCCCCUCAGCCACGGCUGCUGAGACAGUGGCGCACUUUCCUGUCUUCACCUCCUCGGUGUCGUUCUCGGCCCCCGCCCCCGCCGGCAGCUCAGACGCGGAUCUCUCGGCGCCAUAGAUUUCUAGGGCCUUCUCUCCACCCUGAACGCCCUUUUUCAAGCUGCGGUCCACUGCCACCACCACCACAGAAGCGGCUGCCAGGCCCUCAGCGGGAGGCUGGCCCUCUUCCUGCCCGGCUUUGAUCGCCACAUGACCGCGACCCCCAAUAACUCGGAUCUGGGGAGUACUGCCACGGCCCGCGGGAUCCUGAGGUACGCCCCCCUCCUCUGAAGGCUGUGGAGGCGGGAGCGCGAUGGUCUCCGAGCCUCCCUCACCCGGCUCCGCCAUCACCUGUGUCGUCUCGCUUUGGUCGCGGAGCUUCAGGCACUGGUGUGCGUCCGGGUCGCUCGGGACGUGGUCAGAAAUAAUGAUGCUGUGGGUUUGGAGGGGAGGGGUCCUCUCGACCCCAUCCACGCCGCUCAUGUUGGUAACAGUCGGACCAACCGCAGGUGAACGCCCGUUUUCCUCAGAGAAGCCGAGCUCUGAGCUAACCGCCGCUCGCACCGCCCACCCGCCAGU